AUUGAACGCUAGCGGCAGGCUUAACACAUGCAAGUCGAGCGAGCGGCGGACGGGUGAGUAAUGUCUGGGAAACUGCCUGAUGGAGGGGGAUAACUACUGGAAACAGUAGCUAAUACCGCAUACCAUCAGAGGUGCCCAGAUGGGAUGAGCUAGUUGGUGGGGUAAUGGCUCACCAAGGCCACGAUCCCUAGCUGGUCUGAGAGGAUGACCAGCCACACUGGAACUGAGACACGGUCCAGACUCCUACGGGAGGCAGCAGUGGGGAAUAUUGAACAAUGGGCGAAAGCCUGAUUCAGCCAUCCCGAGUGUGUGAAGAAGGCCUUCGGGUUGUAAAGAACGUUCAGCGAGGAGGCGUUACUCGCAGAACAAGCACCGGCUAACUACGUGCCAGCAGCCGCGGUAAUUC
rnacentral:rRNA from 1 species